AGUUCGGACUGCAGGCUGCAACUCGCCUGCACGAAGUUGGAAUUGCUAGUAAUCGUGGAUCAGCAUGCCACGGUGAAUACGUUCCCGGGUCUUGUACACACCGCCCGUCACACCAUGGGAGGCCGGUAAUACCCGAAGUCAGUAGUCUAACCGCAAGGAGGACGCUGCCGAAGGUAGGAUUGGCGACUGGUGUGAAGUCGUAACAAGGUAUC
rnacentral:rRNA from 1 species